AAUACAUUAGGAUAAGGUUAGUCUAUGAUAUUCAUAUUUUCAUGGUUUUUGUGUUU
rnacentral:tRNA from 1 species